rnacentral:rRNA from 1 species
UACGUAGGGUGCGAGCGUUGUCCGGAAUCAUUGGGCGUAAAGAGCUCGUAGGCGGCCUGUCGCGUCGGAUGUGAAAACCCGGGGCUCAACCUCGGGCCUGCAUUCGAUACGGGCAGGCUGGAGUUCGGCAGGGGAGACUGGAAUUCCUGGUGUAGCGGUGAAAUGCGCAGAUAUCAGGAGGAACACCGGUGGCGAAGGCGGGUCUCUGGGCCGUAACUGACGCUGAGGAGCGAAAGCAUGGGGAGCGAACAGG